rnacentral:rRNA from 1 species
GAAAAAAAAUUACAUGUGUGUACGUACGUUGAGCCCGGAAAAAAAGGCCCAGCCGUCUCUCAUUCUCUCCUCCCUCCUUCCUCUGCCUCCCGUGACGAGAGCAUCCCCAGCCGCCGCCGCCGCCGCCGCCGCCAGGCGAUUCCGGCGAGUUCUGGCGGCCCUCGCCGGCGCGCAGGACACGCACGUGCUCCCCUCGCCACGCUCCUUCCUUCCCUCCGGCCAGAUCCGCUCCUCGCGGCCGUGUCCCCUCCCGGCGGCUAGGGUUCCGGCUGCGGCGUCGCCUCCAGCUCCGGCGAGGUGAGCUCUGCCUUCCCUUCCCUGGCCUUGAUUCAGAUCUCCAUCUUCCUUCUCUCCCCGACGCCCGAGCCCGACGACGCCGUGCCGGCGACGGCAUCGGCUGUGUGCGCCGUGCGUCGACUACAACCUCUCCGGUGAGGUGAGGAGGUCAUAUUCUACUGCCCCGAGCACAUUGAAAGAUGGUUAAUGCAAUCAAGGGGCUGUUCAUCUCCUGUGAUAUACCGAUGGCUCAGUUCAUUGUCAAUAUGAAUGCGUCAAUGCCCGCAUCGGAGAAGUUCAUCAUGCACAUUCUUGACCCCACACACAUGUUCAUCCAGCCUAAUAUGGGAGAUUACAUCAAAAGUAAGAUGGCGGAGUUCAGAGACCAGAACAGCUAUGAGAAGCCAACGUGAAGGGCCACCAUCCAUUACCGCGGUGCCAGCUUCCAUCCAUUACCGCGGUGCCAGCUUCAAGAAACUCCAUCAAGAGAUACCUAUGUUGAUUAUCGCUAUGUAGAAUGGUUAUAUGCUGAGACUGAACGUCAUGUCUCUCUUGUGAUGUUCUGUUUCCUACUUCUGAGCCAAUUUAUGAUACAGAGUUCUGCGUCUUAUGUAUCUUCGGAGUGAGCCUUUAGCUGCUAAUAUUUCUGGUGAUGUUGAUAUUGAUACCGUGUGCUGAAUAAAGUACCACCUCUUGUCAAGAUGUUCGGUAAGCUAAUUACUGGAGCUCUGGAUAGAGCCAAGUAGAAGCUUUACUGAAAUUGCUUUCCAAAAUUAUCAGCCCUGUAAUGAAAAACCAAGUACAUGAAGUAAGAAAGAUAUAUUUGUGUUACAAUUUGUAAAUUCAAG